UGACGGUACCUGAAGAAUAAGCACCGGCUAACUACGUGCCAGCAGCCGCGGUAAUACGUAGGGUGCAAGCGUUAAUCGGAAUUACUGGGCGUAAAGCGUGCGCAGGCGGCUUUGCAAGACAGAUGUGAAAUCCCCGGGCUCAACCUGGGAACUGCAUUUGUGACUGCAAGGCUAGAGUACGGUAGAGGGGGAUGGAAUUCCGCGUGUAGCAGUGAAAUGCGUAGAUAUGCGGAGGAACACCAAUGGCGAAGGCAAUCCCCUGGACCUGUACUGACGCUCAUGCACGAAAGCGUGGGGAGCAAACAGGAUUAGAUACCCUGGUAGUCCACGCCCUAAACGAUGUCAACUGGUUGUUGGACGGCUUGCUGUUCAGUAACGAAGCUAACGCGUGAAGUUGACCGCCUGGGGAGUACGGCCGCAAGGUUGAAAACUCAAAGGAAUUGACGG
rnacentral:rRNA from 1 species